GGCUCAGGAUGAACGCUGGCGGCGUGCCUAAUACAUGCAAGUCGAGCGAACUGAUUAGAAGCUUGCUUCUAUGACGUUAGCGGCGGACGGGUGAGUAACACGUGGGCAACCUGCCUGUAAGACUGGGAUAACUUCGGGAAACCGAAGCUAAUACCGGAUAGGAUCUUCUCCUUCAUGGGAGAUGAUUGAAAGAUGGUUUCGGCUAUCACUUACAGAUGGGCCCGCGGUGCAUUAGCUAGUUGGUGAGGUAACGGCUCACCAAGGCAACGAUGCAUAGCCGACCUGAGAGGGUGAUCGGCCACACUGGGACUGAGACACGGCCCAGACUCCUACGGGAGGCAGCAGUAGGGAAUCUUCCGCAAUGGACGAAAGUCUGACGGAGCAACGCCGCGUGAGUGAUGAAGGCUUUCGGGUCGUAAAACUCUGUUGUUAGGGAAGAACAAGUACGAGAGUAACUGCUCGUACCUUGACGGUACCUAACCAGAAAGCCACGGCUAACUACGUGCCAGCAGCCGCGGUAAUACGUAGGUGGCAAGCGUUAUCCGGAAUUAUUGGGCGUAAAGCGCGCGCAGGCGGUUUCUUAAGUCUGAUGUGAAAGCCCACGGCUCAACCGUGGAGGGUCAUUGGAAACUGGGGAACUUGAGUGCAGAAGAGAAAAGCGGAAUUCCACGUGUAGCGGUGAAAUGCGUAGAGAUGUGGAGGAACACCAGUGGCGAAGGCGGCUUUUUGGUCUGUAACUGACGCUGAGGCGCAA
rnacentral:rRNA from 1 species